AUGCUUUCUUCACAUAAGGGGGAAAAUACUCCACUUUCCUCUUUACCCAUGCCUUCUCUCUUUCAGACGCACAUCCCUAUUGUAGAGAUCCAUGACCAUCAUGAAGCUAUAGCCUCUGAAGUCCUCCCCGCUGCUGAGGAACAUCUGGAGCAGGACGUCCUCCAAACUCAGUAUGUGAACACUCCAGUUGGUUCCACUAAAGAUGACGACACAGAAGACAAGAUGUCCUGCAGUCAUUACUUGAAGGACAAUGGUGAUGUUGACGAGGAAAUUCCACCUAAUUUGUAAGGUGCAUUCAUCCCAUUCACUGCUCUGUUUCAUGCUCUCGCAGGCCAAAGUUGCAGCGCUGCUGUUGUGCUGAGAUCCACUACAGAAGAGCUCAGGCAACAUAAUGCAGUUAUCACAGACACUCUGGAAGCCCAGGAAAAACAAAUCAGUCUCCAGGAACGAAUCUGUCUUUCUCACUGUCAUUGCAUAUCUGUUUUCAUGAUUUUUUUGUGAUGUCUCUGAAGUACUUGUAAAGCAUCAACAAAUGCAUUUGUUGUUUCUUUAUUUAUUUUACAGGAUUAGGUUGUAAUCUUCAUAAAUCCUUAAUCUGUAUGGCAACUGUUGUGUGUAUGUGAGGCAAAUGUCAGGCAUUUAAAAUAUACUGAAUGAAUUUAGAGAAUGUUUCAUACAAAUUAAGAGACUUCUUUGAAUAGCACAAUUUCCAGUAAAUGUGCUUAUAAAGUAGUCAAACGUCAUUGGAAUAUAUAUUUUUUUUUUUUCACAAAUUCAGAGUAUGGGUCACCAUACUUGGCUGCACUUUCACUUUUUUUCAUAACUGAAUCAGGUAAGCAUAAAAGGUUCAUGGGUGUAGGCUACAUGAAUCUACAAACAUUUUACAUAUUAAAUAAAUAUCAUUUAGUGUAUAUUUCAAUGUGCAGCAGCUUUUUCCACAUAGUCUAAGGUUCUUUUCACGUAAUUAAUGUUCUCUAAUCCAACCUGUUACAAUUUCUUAAUUAGGUUAAUGAAAUAAACAUUUGACUUUUACUCAGCCAACAGCAAGAAGGCAGAGGCUCACAAAAUUGUGGGAGCACCUGCACCAGCACCACUGACAGAUGAAGGGGGGAUAGCCACAGUUGAAUAUACAGGUGAAUACAGGACCUCCUACUGAUAUAUAACUCGAUAUCAGCUUGAUUUUCAGAAGGUGCAAUGUUGGGAAUAUGCAUGUUAUCAGUACAUCCAACCACAUUGGAAAUCCCAAAGGAAAUUCUAAUUAUUGGGAUACUUCCAGGCAGGAGCAGUGUAACAGGGGGAAGGAAAGGACGAUUCCAAGGGCCCGACAAGGGAGAGGGGGCCCGGAACACGGUUUUUACAGAGAGGGAACCAAGUGAACAUCAUUUAUCAGAAUUAGCCUCACUUAAACCAAUUUCUACCUGACAAACUCUUCUUUGUGCCCAGGUAACAAUACAAACAUUCUCAUAAAGAGUGUGAGAGUGAGACACACUUUGCUUACCGCUCUGCAUACAGCAGCCUUAUUAAUGUGUUCUGCAUCUCCGAUGUUAUAUAGAAAACUACCAUUUAAAAAUGGUACAGUUCAAAUAAAUAUGUAUGUGGAUAUGGCAAAAAAAGUACAAAUAAUAAUAAUAAUAAUAAUUUAUGCAGCCUCCUCAUCUAAGGGUCCUAUAUACUGUACAUGCCUUUUUUCAAUUUAAUGGUGUCUGCAUAAUGAAAAUAUGCAAAGGAAUGAAUGUUAUCUGCACUGAAAAAAAAAAAGUUUUCCGUUUACAUGAAGAUUAUUUUUCUCACCCCAUUGGCAGAUCUUUUUACUUGUUUUAGGCAAAAUGCAGUAUUUUUUUCCUUAGGAAACAAGACUAUCUUAUGUAAUUUUUCUUAAAGAAAUACUGAAGUAAGAAAAUCAUUUUUGCACGGUGAAUGAGCGAAUGAGGCGCAUGCCACUGUGGCUAUGUUUCUCUGAACAUGUCUUUUUGAAUGCAUUAUUUAGCAAAGGUCUCAGCUGCUGACUGGCCUGGCAGAUUGUCCUCUGUAGUGUUUUAUUAGAUGUCAGAAUAGAGACUGUACUGGGGCUGGAUAUAUUUAAUUAGGGACUGGCACUCUGGCUAAUGGUGCAGUGUUUCCUGCUUCCUCACUGCAAGAGAUGCCAAACAAUGAGUUUACAGAGACUUACUCAUCUAGGGACACAGCUGCAGGAACAGACAUCAAAGUAACCUGCACACAGGCGCUAUUCACUGUAGAUUACAUCUGCUAGAAACACAUAAAUCUGUCCUGAUUUUUUGUCGUGAUGCCGUUUAUGCAUCUGACCUGAAGCAAUUAGAGUCAGCAGGCCCAGGGAAUAGAACGGUUUGUUUUGCCUUCUGAAAUAUCCAUCUUAGGUCAACAUGAACUUCAGUGCUGCUCCAGACUGGUGUAUGCUGGACUGGUGCUGGUCUAGUUGGCGGUCCAGCAUUAAGGGUGGGAAUUUAUCAAUUCCGGUUCCUUAACGGUUUCAACAAUGUAGUCAUUUACUAAAUAAUAAUAAUAGUAAAAAAAUCUUACAAACAGUGUGUUUUGACUGACUUUUAAUGAUGUUGAAAUUUUUUAGAAGUGGCAAAAAUGAAUGCAAUUUAAUAACUAGCCUUUAUGUUAACCAACAAUACCGGUAAUACUAAUCAAAGAACUUCAUAAUAUAUUUUAAAAUUUUUUUUAUUUUUUUUAAAUGAUACUGACAAAAUUCAUAAUGUGCAUCUUUACACAUCAGACAGUCAUUUUGGGCAAU
ensembl:lncRNA